rnacentral:rRNA from 1 species
GUCCACGCCGUAAACGAUGGAUACUAGCUGUUGGGCGCAAGUUCAGUGGCUAAGCGAAAGUGAUAAGUAUCCCACCUGGGGGAGUACGUUCGCAAGAAUGAAACUCAAAGGAAUUGACGGGGGCCCGCACAAGCGGUGGAGCAUGUGGUUUAAUUCGAUGAUACGCGAGGAACCUUACCAAGGCUUAAAUGGGAAUUGACAGCUUUAGAAAUAGAGCUUUCUUCGGACAAUUUUCAAGGUGCUGCAUGGUUGUCGU